UACGAAGGGGGCUAGCGUUGCUCGGAAUCACUGGCGUAAAGCGCACGUAGGCGGAUCGUUAAGUCAGGGGUGAAAUCCUGGAGCUCAACUCCAGAACUGCCUUUGAUACUGGCGACCUUGAGUUCGGGAGAGGUGAGUGGAACUGCGAGUGUAGAGGUGAAAUUCGUAGAUAUUCGCAAGAACACCAGUGGCGAAGGCGGCUCACUGGCCCGAUACUGACGCUGAGGUGCGAAAGCGUGGGGAGCAAACAGG
rnacentral:rRNA from 1 species